CGGAGGCAGCAGCUAAGAAUCUUCCGCAAUGGGCGAAAGCCUGACGGAGCGACGCCGCGUGAACGAAGAAGGCCGUGAGGUUGUAAAGUUCUUUUCGGGAGGGGGAAUGACCGUGGCAGGGAAUGGCCGCGGGAUGACGUGAAUCCCGGAAUAAGCCCCGGCUAACUACGUGCCAGCAGCCGCGGUAACACGUAGGGGGCGAGCGUUGUUCGGAAUCAUUGGGCGUAAAGGGCGUGCAGGCGGCASUGCAAGUCCGGCGUGAAAGACCCCGGCCCAACCGGGGGGGUGCGCUGGAAACUGCGGUGCUUGAGUACAGGAGGGGAUGCCGGAAUUCCAGGUGUAGGGGUGAAAUCUGUAGAUAUCUGGAAGAACACCGAUGGCGAAGGCAGGCAUCUGGCCAUGUACUGACGCUGAGACGCGAAGGUGCGGGGAGCAAACAGGUUUAGAUACCCUGGUAGUCCGCACAGUAAACGAUGUGCACCAGGUGGCGGGGGUAGAACCCUCGGUACCGUAGCAAACGCAUUAAGUGCACCGCC
rnacentral:rRNA from 1 species